GUGAGACGCCCCGCCCCCGGCCCCGCCCCUCCACUGCCGCGCGGCCCCACGGGAAUAGUAGUUCUCGGUCGCGGAGCCAACUUGCGCUCCGUUCUGAUUACGUGGGCCGGACGGGCUGGACGAAACUACUCCUCCCAGCAUGCAUCGCGCGGCGAGCCACCCCCAUGAGGGUUUUUUUUUUUUCCAUUCCAAGCACCGGGCAAAUCCGAGUAUGAGGACCACUGCAGUCAGAGCCCACAGCACCUGUGGUCGCUUGAACGAGACCAGCACGAGACCAAGCCAGACAGCAUUCGAUUGAUCGUGGAAGGAUGUAAAGCCCUCAGCUACUUCUCAAGCAGUUCCCAUCCCUGCUUGGGAACCACCAUGCUCCCCCGCCGUGAUGACGAUGGACUGACCCUCUGAAACUAUUGUUGUGGAAUGGCUCCUGCCAUUGUGACGUCAUGAGGGCCUGACCAGAGCAGAGCCAAUGCUUGAUGUUAGGCUCUCGGAGAGCCUUCUGGAUAAAGCAUCCUUUAUAAGUUCUCCUGUUCGGACACAAGGCAUUGCUUAUGCUAUGCAAUCACUCUGGCUCUGAGUUACAUCCCUGAACUUUGAGAAGAUAUUCUUAUUGGCUCAGGCUAGGAGAGCGGCUGCUGUUUCUCAACAUUGCGUGAGCAUCAAAUGUGAGCAUCAGUAAUUCAAAGUUACCUCUGAGGAACAGCAGCUUCCUCCUCCUCCUUCUCCUCUAACUCUUCCGGUUCUUUCAUCCCGAUUCCACCAGUCAUCAAGGUCAGUGUAUUCUCUGAAAUAUCUAAAGUGACUUUGGUUUUCUUAGUUGAAGCCAGACGAAUACUGUGGUCUUGGGCGAGCGCUUGCUCUUGGCACCAGCUGACUGCCAGAAAAUAAAGGUAGUGACCAUGCA